CAAUUCUAAGAACUCUAUCUCUUUCUUUCCUCUGACAUCUUCUGGAAAGUACUUCCUCAGGAAUCUCUCUCUGAACACAGCCCAAGUGAUCUCAGCAUUCCCAGCAGUUUCCAACUCAGUGCGGGUAGCAACCCACCAAUCAUCUGCUUCCUCUGACAGCAUAUGCGUACCGAACCUGACCUUCUGGUUAUCGGCACACUCAGUCACUCGGAAGAUCCUC
rnacentral:lncRNA from 1 species